AACGUAGGUGGCGAGCGUUAUUCGGAAUUAUUGGGCGUAAAGGGCGCGUAGGCGGCUUGGCAAGUGGAUGGUGAAAUCCCUCGGCUUAACCGAGGAACUGCCGUCCAAACUGCUUCGCUUGAGACCGGGAGAGGUGAGUGGAAUUCCACGUGUAGCAGUGAAAUGCGUAGAUAUGUGGAGGAACACCGAUGGCGAAGGCAGCCCCCUGGGUCAAGACUGACGCUCAUGCACGAAAGCGUGGGGAGCAAACAGG
rnacentral:rRNA from 1 species